rnacentral:rRNA from 1 species
UACGUAGGUGGCGAGCGUUGUCCGGAUUUACUGGGCGUAAAGCGCGUGUAGGCGGCUCGGAAAGUCGGAUGUGAAAGCCCAGGGCUCAACCCUGGAAGUGCACUCGAAACUCCCGAGCUGGAGUCCCGGAGAGGAAGGCGGAAUUCUCGGUGUAGAGGUGAAAUUCGUAGAUAUCGAGAGGAACACCUGUGGCGAAGGCGGCCUUCUGGACGGUGACUGACGCUGAGACGCGAAAGCGUGGGGAGCAAACAGG